rnacentral:rRNA from 1 species
UACAGAGGGUGCAAGCGUUGUCCGGAUUUAUUGGGCGUAAAGAGCGUGUAGGCGGCUUUACAGGUCCGUUGUGAAAACUCGAGGCUCAACCUCGAGACGCCGGUGGAAACCGUAAGGCUAGAGUCCGGAAGAGGAGAGUGGAAUUCCUGGUGUAGCGGUGAAAUGCGCAGAUAUCAGGAAGAACACCCGUGGCGAAGGCGGCUCUCUGGGACGGUACUGACGCUGAGACGCGAAAGCGUGGGGAGCGAACAGG